UGUUGGGGAGUUUGUCGUAAUCAGGUAAGAAUUAAAAAUUAUAAUGUAGUUGACUUUGUCGUAAGUGAGUAAGAGUUCGAAGUUAUGAUGUUGGGGAGUUUAUCGUAAUCAGGUAAGAAUUAGAAAUUAUGAUGUCAGUGACUUUGCUGUAAG